GUUGCUUUGCAUUGCCUUGGCCCAGCCCAAGGCAGCAGCCACAUAAGAAUCAACAAGGAGGAGAAAGGAAGGAGUCGACAGCGUUCGCUGGAGGCGGCGGCGAGUAGGGAUUCAUUAAUUCAUCAUGGCGUCUGUGGAGGAGUUGGAGGAGGAGGAGGAUGAGUUGGAGGGCUUGGAGCCUUUCUUCUACGACCGGGAGACCUGGGAUGCCUGGGCGGAGGAGGAGACGGAGAGGCGUUGGCGGGAGGAAGAAGAGACGGCGCGGAAGACGGAGGAGAACCGGCGGAGN
rnacentral:lncRNA from 1 species